CGUCAUGUGUGGGGAAUUCCCCUUAAUAGUAUUACGUCAUUAUGUAAUUUCCUCAUCUAAAAAUACAUGAUUCUGGAACAGGCUCUGGAAUGUUCUGUGUAGGAGGCGAGGUUUGACUUCAAUCUGGGUGACUCAUGUUCUUUCAUUAAUUGCAUCACCUUAAAAUUAUUAAAAUGAUGUAAUUUAUGAUACUAAUCAAACAAGAGCGUGUCCAUUUCCCUGUGAACCAGGGUUUUUCUGUGUAAAAUAUCUUGAAUCCUGUGAGAGUUGCGAGAUAUUUUGCAAUCCAGACAACCAAUAUGCAGAGAAAUGUCCUGAAAGUUGCCUUGUUGCAUCAUCGUCACCUUCACCAGAAAUUGGCAUAACUACAAAGAGAGAUGUAACAAACACAAACAAACCAAGCCUGGCUCCAAUUAGGACAGAUGGCAAACAGAAAAACAAUGUGAUAAUAAUUGUAUGUGUUACUGUUGGAUUUUUUAUUGCAAUUUCCUUGAUAUUUCUUAUAAUUCAUCUGCUUAAAAAAUAUUGUGGAAAGCAAACACAUUAUCCGAUCCAGGUACAAACAGAUCCAGUGGUAGAAUCCAAUGAACAGGAGCUGGUUUUGGUGUAAAAGUAUAGAAAGAGAAAAUGUCAGGGUAUUUGAAGAGCACUUCCAUUAUAAUUAUGCUAAUUGACAACAAAAGGCAGUGUGAUUACUCAAAGUAACUCAUUUUAGCAUUCUCUGUCCAUCAGAAAUUAAGUGAAUCCUUUGCGAGGAUAGAUGAAAGCGUAUGCCACUCGUGUCAGUCCAUGGUCAGCUUGAAGAUUCUCGUAAUGCAUAAUGAGACCGCGGAAAUAGGACGGAUGGCGGGCACGUGCUGCGCCCGGCAGUCACCAGCUGACGCGUUUCUACACACAUUGUGACUAUUCUAAUCUUCAAUAUUUAGGGCCAGUAUAUAUUUGGGCAUUAGCAAACAAUUCUAGCCAUAUUUCCAAGAUCAAUUUCCUGGCAAUAUGAAUGGCUUUCUAUUGAAAGUGCUUUAUACAGAAAAACCCUCCGAAGAAGACAUGCAUUUUUUAUACUGAGUUUCAGUCUUUCUUGUCUUCCAAUCUCAGAGUCCUGGUUUCAAAUCCUGUUACAGCAAAGGAUUUUUUUUUUCUCACAACUAAAAAACAUCUCUAAUCCCUAAGCUACGUAGUAAGACUUUUGCUGAUAAAGAAUCACAUUAUUUCAGUAUGGAACUUUCAAUUGCACGACAGUAGGAAGUAGAAUGAAAUGACGUCACAAAUAUGUCAAAAUAUGAACAUUGGGUUCUCUUUGCCGCAAUGAUUCUGGAAUGCAAAUUGGCUGAAUGUACGCUGUACAGAAAACGUAGGACCUUUACACAUGAGUGAAUCCGUUCUAGUGUUGCAUUGCUUAGUGCAAAUCGAAAUCUACUUUUAAAUGAGGACUCCUACUGUAUAUAUCAGCUAACCUUCUACGAUAUGCUGGGAAGAGUUAUCCUCUAUAAAUAUGGUUUUAAAAAAUCUCUGUGCCUAUAUAUAUUUUGUACUAACUAAAUGUCACACAAGUCUUGUCAUCGAUUGUGAAUGUUAUAAUGUUUAAUAUGUUUUUGUUGUCUAGGUACAGUACAACACUUAUUGAGUAGUUCUUCUUCCAUCCCUAGUGCAGAUUUGAUGUGCCAGCUCAUAGGAACAUUCCACUACUCAAAAACAGACCAAUUGUUUUUAAUAGUAAAAUUGAAAAGAAAAUAUCUCACUGUACAUAUUUAUGAGCAAUGACCAUUGAUUUAGGGAAACAGAAUUGUGGUUAGGAAACCUACUUAAGUAGCAUAAAACCUCUGAGCAGUACUUAAUGUAUUGUCUAAUCUUUGUGUUAUUUGUUUCUUUGACCAAAAUCCUGCUGAUACUCAUGUUACUUGUAUCAGUGUGUAGAACACAUUACUUGUCUUUCAGCUGCUGGAAAGUCAAAUUUAGGCAAAGUACAUAAUAGCACUAACAGUAAAAAAAAUUAUGUACAUACAGAUGCGACUAUAUCUCUGUGUCAGGCUGUCCACUGUAUUGACCAUUUCACUUACAUUAUUUUUUGUGUAUGCAGUGUUUUUUUGUAUGACAUUGCAAAGUGAUGUACCUAGGCUUACAGAUCUCUUCUCGCAAUCAUUGGAGGGCAAUUUUUAAAUUUUGUUUUGUCAAGCGAGUCCCUGUUAUCCCAAAUAUUGUUUAUUAACUUGUGUCAUUAUUAUCAAUAUUCAUUUUUUAAAUGUUGUUUUGUUUUAAUUAAAUUUAUUUGUGUUUACUUUCCAUUUUAUACGUUAUUUUAUCCUAAAUGAUUUACUUGUUAUAGUACUUUAUAGUACUUGUGGUAGUGUACAUAUUUCUGGAGAAAAAAAAACCAGUUUUAUUGUUGAAAAUAUGGUAAGGUUUCAUAUAGUAGAUUGUUCUAAUCAUAUUCAAGAACAUAAUGUAUUCAUAUCAAUGAAUCAGUGGUAUAAUUUAUUUUAUUUUAUUCAAUUGUCAACCCACAGAGAUAAAACCCUCCGCUAACAGGUUGGAGAAAAAACAUACAUAUACAAGUAAACAAAAUAAAUGGUACAAACAUCAAACAAUCUUAAUUUUAAGCUUAAACAAGGAUAAACUAUCAUAAAAAAUAUCAAUUUCAUCUUUAUAUGAGUAGGAAGGAGAUCAUUGCAAGACUGAAUAAAAGACAUGUUUCCAUUCUUUUUUAAGUUCAAUAAUUAAUGUAUGUAAAUUUAACAAUACAGCAAUAAGUGUUCAUGCUUUUUUUGCCUUGAAUUAGAAUGCAUGUCUGUUGCAGUGGAAUUUGUGUAUAUUGGUGGUUAAGAUGUCUCAUUCCCAUGCAUACCUUGCAAAUACUGUAGAAGACAUUUUUUUUUUCAUAAGGCCUAUGACUGAAACCAAUAAUCCACAAGGGAUGCAUGAACUAUCACAUAGUUCCGUUCUAUUUCUGUUCUGUUUAUGUUGUAAUAACGUUAGCAAUUGUCUCUUGCGGGAUUUAAGCGUGCAACCUUUCACUGUCAAAGCCAGUAUCAUACCAUUAGACCAUCUCCAGACACCUCUCAUACAACUGUCUUUUGCUAACAAGCUAUUACCAUAUUUAGCUAUUGGGCCUAUCUAUGUUUUGGUCGCAGCUGGGAAAUCAGUAAAUAAUAUUCAAAUUUUGCUGUAUGCACUGUAAACACAAUAUUAAAAAUUAGUAAUAUAAAAACAUCAGUGGUUGACAAUAUUUGAUGUUUUAAACUUAUUAGGAUGUUUUAAACUUAUCUUCAACAAAAUUUCCCCUUCCAGUUGUAAGAAAAAGUGUCUUGUGUGAUUCGAACCUGCAACCUCUCACUAUCAAGGCCAGUGUCAUUCAUUAUGCUAGAACACAGAGACAGUACUGUAAAUAAUCUUUAAAUUCGGUUUAUUGUGAGCACCAUCAAUGCAAAAACGAAACAACACUAAAAGCUGCAUUGACAGUACAUACACCAGAAUUUGUCAGAUGGUUUACGUAGGUGUGAUAUGUUGUAUUCCAGAAAGGCCUAUGCAAAACAUUGUAUAUUAUGUAGGUGUUUCUUCAUAUCAAAUUUAUUAUGUACUGUUACAGGAUGUUUUUAAAUACUGUGUAUAAAAAUAGUAUAGCCUAUAUAUAAUCUCUUUGGAAAUUCUUGUUUAAGAUGAAUAUAUUUGACCAUGUACAGUA